AGCAGGAGACAUUGUUGGGUCCACUCCUCGUGGUGGUCUGGAGGGGUGGAUGCUGUGGAGCUGGAACUCCCUCUCCCAUAGGGAGCUGUGCUCACGGAGUUUUUACAACCCCUCUUCAGGGAAACCCUGUGUGGAGUCCUUACAGGGGAGCCAGCACUUGACUUCCUGCCACAUGGGGGCCAAUUUGUGUUUGUCAAGAAAGCAGCUACAACCAACAGCAAGAGGGCUCUGAGAAUGGCAGUUGAGUAGAGAGCCACUCCACUGUGACCUCACCGUCCUUCUCAUCCUGCAGAGUUAAGGGGACAGAGGCACCCAGAGCUAGACCAUGCCCACUCCUUUCCCUGCUCUAAGAGUAAGAAUCCCUGUACUUAGUGGAAGGAUGGAGGGUGAGAAAAGUUUAAAAUUGGAUUGAAUAAGUUUUAAUACUUUGAAGAAGUGUCUUCAAAGCAGUGGCAAGAGGAAUCUGGAGGGAUAAGCCCCGAGGUCCCAGGAAUCCUGAGAAAUGUCUACAGAGAGAAAAAGUCUUUGUGGAACUUGGAACUUUUCUCUUCAUUAACAUGACAAACAGGCUACCUCUAUCAAGGGCAGCCGAGUGAGACCAGCCUGGAAUUUAGAAUCUCCUUAUAAAUAAAGUCUCAGCUUUAAGCAUUAAUGAAAGACAUGGGAUCUUUAUGGCGCCAUUCAUUUCUGAUCUUGCCAAUUCAGUAGCUAGAGUGUCUUCUAUCUUCGCCCCUGCCACUAAUUAUGGAACUCUGCCCUGAUGUGCGGUAGCUCAGGUUCUUAGCAGGAUCAUUAUUCAUCUAAAAAUAUUAUAUAAUAUCUAAGACUGGAUAAAAGGACUUCAAAUUGCUAAUAUUUGUAUUUCUAGCUAGAAUUUUC
rnacentral:lncRNA from 1 species